ACGGUAACAGGGGAGCUUGCUCCCGCUGACGAGUGGCGAACGGGUGAGUAAUGCAUCGGAACGUGCCGAAUAGUGGGGGAUAACGCACCGAAAGGUGUGCUAAUACCGCAUACGCCCUGAGGGGGAAAGUGGGGGACCGCAAGGCCUCACGCUAAUUGAGCGGCCGAUGUCGGAUUAGCUAGUUGGUGGGGUAAAGGCUCACCAAGGCGACGAUCCGUAGCGGGUCUGAGAGGAUGAUCCGCCACACUGGGACUGAGACACGGCCCAGACUCCUACGGGAGGCAGCAGUGGGGAAUUUUGGACAAUGGGGGAAACCCUGAUCCAGCCAUGCCGCGUGUCUGAAGAAGGCCUUCGGGUUGUAAAGGACUUUUGUCCGGGAGGAAACCCUGAUCGUUAAUAGCGGUCGGGACUGACAGUACCGGAAGAAUAAGCACCGGCUAACUACGUGCCAGCAGCCGCGGUAAUACGUAGGGUGCAAGCGUUAAUCGGAAUUACUGGGCGUAAAGCGUGCGCAGGCGGUGAGAUAAGUCAGCUGUGAAAGCCCCGGGCUCAACCUGGGAACUGCGGCCGAAACUGUCUCGCUAGAGUACGUCAGAGGGGGGUGGAAUUCCACGUGUAGCAGUGAAAUGCGUAGAGAUGUGGAGGA
rnacentral:rRNA from 1 species